GAUGGAACUGCACGGCCGCAAAUCUGACUCGUUGGGUGUUACCAACUUGGGAUUGCGGAAGUGC
rnacentral:ncRNA from 1 species